GCUGAGGAAGGACAGGGUUGGUUCUCUGAGCACUGGUACCAGAAGGAAGAAUGAAUGAUACGUAGCAAGACAACAGGUAUCCCCUAAGGGUGAGCCCUCCCUCACUACUCAGUCCUAUCAUACGUGAGCCAAAUACACCUUUGAAGACAAUCAUGGCCUUUACGUGCCCAGAGUGGAGCGAGACCAGAUGAUUACGUUCAAGUAAUAACAGAAGAAAAUAAAACAUCCUUACUGUUUAAACAGGAUCUAGUAAAUGUACUUUUUCUCCAGGGGACAAGCUGAAGAGUUGCCAGGUCAGCAACCAGUCUGAAUAAGGAAAGGUAGCCCAGUGUGGCUGUCCUUGGAAACGAGAGUAGGAGGAGAUCUUGAAGGGGGCAUCCUAACCCUAGGAAAAAGGAAGGAGAGAGGUUAGAAGAAAAGCAUCUGAAGCCCCUUUUCUCCUCUUACGAAACUAUCAUCUGAGAUAUGGACUCUGUGCUGACGGAGCGUGUGGCAGCACGCAAUGCAGGUGGCAGGAACACCCCUGGUGUGAUCUCUGGUUUAUUCCAAUGUUUGAAAUACAGUAGGCCUCAGAGAC